GACGAACGCUGGCGGCGUGCUUAACACAUGCAAGUCGAACGGAAAGGCCCUGCUUUUGUGGGGUGCUCGAGUGGCGAACGGGUGAGUAACACGUGAGUAACCUGCCCUUGAAUUUGGGAUAACUUCAGGAAACUGGGGCUAAUACCGGAUAGGAGCUCCUGCUGCAUGGUGGGGGGUGGAAAGUUUCGGCGGUUGGGGAUGGACUCGCGGCUUAUCAGCUUGUUGGUGGGGUAGUGGCUUACCAAGGCUUUGACGGGUAGCCGGCCUGAGAGGGUGACCGGCCACAUUGGGACUGAGAUACGGCCCAGACUCCUACGGGAGGCAGCAGUGGGGAAUAUUGCACAAUGGGCGGAAGCCUGAUGCAGCAACGCCGCGUGCGGGAUGACGGCCUUCGGGUUGUAAACCGCUUUCGCCUGUGACGAAGCGUGAGUGACGGUAAUGGGUAAAGAAGCACCGGCUAACUACGUG
rnacentral:rRNA from 1 species